rnacentral:lncRNA from 1 species
GGGCUCAAAAUUAAGAUUAAUUAUAGUUGGUCAAUUGAUUCAUACUUGAUGUGAAUUGAUGAUCUCAAGAUCGAAUUUGGCUCCUUGGUUCAAGCUUGAAUAAUUAAGUCAACAGAUUCGAUUCUAAUAGACCAUUUGGUGUCUAAGGUAAGUUUGGCAUUCUUAACCAGUGGUCUUUAAUUAGGAGCUACUCAUAUAGAUGGCGUCUAUGACGAGUUAAUGGCAUAUCCUUCCCGCCGAUCUCACUUAUCUGACUAUUAGGUAGAUUAUGGAUUGAGUUUGGUUGAUUAGUGAUUCGUGUUCACCUAUGCCAGCUAGGUAGGUUAGACAUGAGAUGGGCUGACCUAAACCAGUUUAGUCAUUAUAUUUAAUGUAUGUGACUAAGUAGAUGAGAUGUAAAUUAAAUCUUCUAAAUUGAAUAUUAAGUCUAGCGGUCUUCCACCAUUGUAGAGAUGCGGUGCCUUUCUUAGCUUUGAUUGUUCUCAGCUGGUUAUAAUAGUUCAGUUACAUCGAAGAGGCACAACUACUCUAUUGGCAUCUAAUGCCUUAGGGUGGAGAUGGGGUUGGACCCAAUAACUGUUAAGUGAGAGACCCAAUGAUGACUCUGCACCCACUAGUGAAUGGUGGGUCUGACUUAACUAAAAAAUAUGUCAAUAACUGUUAGAUGAGGCCACAGAACUUAGAGACCGAAUUGUUGCCCAGAUAUGGAGCCUAAGAGGGGGGG